rnacentral:rRNA from 1 species
CACGUAGGAGGCAAACGUUAUCCGGAUUUACUGGGCGUAAAGCGCGUGUAGCUGGUUCUGUAAGUAGGGCGUGAAAGCUCCCGGCUCAACUGGGAGAGGCCGUUCUAAACUGCAGAGCUAGAGGAUGGUAGAGGGAGGUGGAAUUCCAGGUGUAGCGGUGAAAUGCGCAGAUAUCAGGAGGAACACCAGUGGCGAAGGCGGCCUCCUGGACCAUUCCUGACACUCAGACGCGAAAGCUAGGGUAGCAAACGGGAUUAGAUACCCGGGUAGU